rnacentral:rRNA from 1 species
UACGGGGGGUGCAAGCGUUGUCCGGAAUCAUUGGGCGUAAAGAGUUCGUAGGCGGCACGUAAAGUCUGGUGUUAAAUUCAGAGGCUCAACUUCUGUACGGCACUGGAUACUUGCGAGCUAGAAUGCGGUAGAGGUAAAGGGAAUUCCUGGUGUAGCGGUGAAAUGCUUAGAUAUCAGGAGGAACAUCGGUGGCGUAAGCGCUUUACUGGGCCGUAAUUGACGCUGAGGAACGAAAGCCAGGGUAGCAAACAGG